UUUAAGGUUAACAGCCAGGGGUGGUCGGUUGUUAAAUGAUACCAACCUGGGACCACACAGAUGGGGGUUAGGUAAGCGAAAGUAGGGGGUACGCGGUAACCCCCAAGCGUACCGGCGAAAAAUUUCGAGACCCAAGGAAAACUGAUACAGACUCCUACACUGAAUAGGCUUGCUGGCUGCACAAAGCAGCCACCUACUGGAUUAAUGGCUGUCAGGCUACCACUUUAGAAGAGUUGCUGCAGUUGAUGUUACUGCAGCAGUUCUUCAACCUACUACAACCUGAUCUCGAAGACUGGGUGAGAGGCCAUGGACCCCUUACCCUCCCCGAUGCAGCAAGAAUGCGGAUGAGUAUACGGAUGCUCGCAAGCUUGAGCGGUCUCACCCCAGAGUGCAACCUCCCCGAAUCGAUCCCCCAGCACCAAGUGGGGAGCUAUCACCCCUCUCUACAACCCAUUCCAGUGGAGUAUAGACCCCCACAGGUGACCGGUCUCCGCUGCUACAGAUGCAAGCAAGUGGGGCACUACCGCAGGGACUGUCCCCUGGACACCCCCAGAUCCAACUAAACACAGCCAGGAAUCUCCAACACACGGGCAGCUGCACACUGUGUGGACUACCCCGUACCUACCACCUGGGAAGCCAGAGAGCCGAGUCGGCAAGAACCACUGGGGUUCCUCCAUGAGGCCGGCCAGCA